rnacentral:lncRNA from 1 species
CCAAGCCAUCUGGACCCCAAGUAGCAAGCCGGCUGACCGAUCCUCCCUUUGCGGUCCCGUCUUGGGCCCCGAGCUGGUUUGGACCCUCGACCUCUUCUCCCCCACAGUGAACAAGAGCAGUCGACGUCGGGGGAAGGCGGAGGAGACCGCGGACUCCGGGCCCCCGGCGGAAGAUGCUCCUUACCCUCCUGCCCCGACGGCAACUCACCCCAAAGCGGCGGGGGGCCCAGAGAAGAGCAGAGCACGAAGGGAUCCCAGGCCUGGAAGUUACCACCCAUCUCGGAAGGAUCGCCGCGAGUCCGGAAUCCCCCCAGGAGUCCGUUUCGAGACGGAGAACCUCCCCGGGAGCUCUUGACUUUUCCGCUGGUCGUUCGGUUCCACUCUCAGCAUUCCGCCCAGGAGGAGAAGGCCAAAGGAGGACCUCCGCGUGCGUUGCCCGAACCUCACGCUGCCAAAGGCCCCAGGGCCCCCCCUCCCUGCCCAACGCUCCCAGCUCGGGCUCCAGGACAUCGGCGGGACCCGCCCCAGCACGAGGACUCACCUGGCCCCCAAGGUAAUUCAUUCGUUCGAUGGUAUUCAUUGAGCGCUUACUUUAUCGGAAUGGACAACUGGGCAACAGAUAGAGACCAUCCCUGCCCAAUGACGGGCUCACGGUCUCAUCCGGGGAGGCAGACGGACAAAAACAAC